rnacentral:rRNA from 1 species
CCUACGGGAGGCAGCAGUGAGGAAUUUUCUGCAAUGGGCGAAAGCCUGACAGAGCAAUACCGCGUGAGGGAUGAAGACUUACUGAGUUGUAAACCUCGGUGCCUUAAGGAAGAAGAUCUGACGGUACUUAAGGUGGAAAGCAUCGGCUAACUCCGUGCCAGCAGCCGCGGUAAGACGGGGGAUGCAAGUGUUAUCCGGAAUUACUGGGCGUAAAGCGUCUGCAGGUGGUUUUAUAAGUCUGCUGUUAAAUCUUGAGGCUCAACCUCAAAUCUGCAGUGGAAACUAUAAGACUUGAGUAUAGUAGGGGUAGAGGGAAUUUCCAGUGGAGCGGUGAAAUGCGUAGAUAUUGGAAAGAACACCGAUGGCGAAGGCACUCUACUGGGCUAUUACUGACACUCAGAGACGAAAGCUAGGGGAGCAAAUGGGAUUAGAUACCCCAGUAGUCCUAGCCGUAAACGAUGGAUACUCGAUGUUGGACGUAUCGACCCGUUCAGUAUCUUAGCUAACGCGUUAAGUAUCCCGCCUGGGGAGUACGCUCGCAAGAGUGAAACUUAAGGAAUUGACGG